rnacentral:rRNA from 1 species
AUGGAGAUGGUCCUCGCCGCCGCAGCAAACUGUACCGGUGCCUUGUCGUCCAACCACCCCAAAACGUUCCUCAAAUCGCGUCGAUCCUCGCUCCAAAUGCGGGCCUGCAGAUCGGGCCCCGCUGCGCCGCUCGCCGUGUCGUCCGCCGCCGCGCCGGAGGAGCCGCGCCCGGUGCGCCUGGGCAUCAUGGGCUGCGGCUCCAUCCCGCGCAAGGUCGCGCGCUCAAUGCUGCUCGUCCCCGCCGCCGACGUGGCCGCCGUCGCCAGCCGCUCCGAGGGCAAGGCGCGCCUCUUCGCCGCCGACAACGGCCUCCGGAGCGGCACGCGCAUCCACGGCUCCUACGAGGCGCUCCUCGACGACCCGGACGUCGACGCCGUCUACAUGCCGCUCCCCACCAGCCUCCACGUCAAGUGGGCGACCGCCGCCGCCGAGCGGGGCAAGCACCUGCUCCUCGAGAAGCCCACCGCGCCCUGCGCCGCCGACCUCGAGCCCAUCCUCGCCGCCUGCGAGGCCAACGGCGUGCAGUUCAUGGACUCCACCAUGUGGAUGCACCACCCCCGCACUGCCAAGAUGCGUCAGCUCGUGGCCGAUCAGGACACAAUCGGAGACGUCAGAUUUAUAAACACCAUGGUCAGCUUCCUAGCAAACGAAGAUUUCCUCCAGAAUGACAUCAGGGUGAAGCCAGACCUUGACGGCCUGGGUGUGCUCGGUGAUAUCGGGUGGUACUGCAUCCGUGGAAUCCUGUGGGCGGUUGACUAUGAGCUGCCCAAGAAUGUGGUUGCUCUCCGUCACCCUGUCAAGAACCAAGCCGGCGUGCUCCUUGCUUGCGGCGCGUCGCUCUACUGGGCCGACGGCAAGGUCGCCACCUUCCACUGUUCUUUCCUUACCAACCUGACCAUGGACCUCACCGUCGUCGGCACCAACGGUACUAUUCAUGUCACCGACUUGGUCAUCCCGUACGAAGAGAAGUCUGCUCCGUUCAGCGUCGACUCCAAGACAAACUUCGCCGAACUCUCUACCGGAUGGGAUCCACAUCCGAGCAAGCAUGUUGUCACCACGGACCUACCCCAGGAGGGGCUCAUGGUCCAGGAGUUCUGUAGGCUGGUGCAGGGCAUCAGAGAUGCCGGUGUCAAGCCUGAGGGGAAGUGGCCGGGCAUCACCCGGAAGACACAGAUUGUCGUGGAUGCAGUGAAGGCUUCUAUUGACAACGGAUUUGAGUCCGUCGAUGUUGCCAGCUAA